rnacentral:rRNA from 1 species
UACAGAGGUCUCAAGCGUUUGUUCGGAUUCAUUGGGCGUAAAGGGUGCGUAGGCGGCGCGGUAAGUCGGGGUGUGAAAAUCUCGGAGCUUAACUCCGAAACUGCAUUCGAUACUGCCGUGCUUGAGGACUGGAGAGGAGACGUGGAAUUUACGGUGUAGCGGUGAAAAUGGCGUAGAUAUCGGGAGGAACACCGGUGGCGA